GACGAACGCUGGCGGCGUGCCUAAUACAUGCAAGUAGAACGCACAGUUUAUACCGUAGCUUGCUACACCAUAGACUGUGAGUUGCGAACGGGUGAGUAACGCGUAGGUAACCUGCCUGGUAGCGGGGGAUAACUAUUGGAAACGAUAGCUAAUACCGCAUAAUAUUAAUUAUUGCAUGAUAAUUAAUUGAAAGGGGCAAUUGCACCACUACCAGAUGGACCUGCGUUGUAUUAGCUAGUAGGUGAGGUAACGGCGCACCUAGGCGAGGAUACAUAGCCGACCUGAGAGGGUGAGCGGCCACACUGGGACUGAGACACGGCCCAGACUCCUACGGGAGGCAGCAGUAGGGAAUCUUCGGCAAUGGCAGAAAGUCUGACCGAGCAACGCCGCGUGAGUGAAGAAGGUUUUCGGAUCGUAGAGCUCUGUUGUAAGAGAAGAACGGGUGUGAGAGUGGAAAGUUCACACUGUGACGGUAGCGUACCAGAAAGGGACGGCUAACUACGUG
rnacentral:rRNA from 1 species